rnacentral:rRNA from 1 species
AGAGUUUGAUCCUGGCUCAGGAUGAACGCUGGCGGCGUGCCUAAUACAUGCAAGUCGUACGAGGGAAGUCCAGCUUGCUGGACGGAACGAGUGGCGAACGGGUGAGUAAUACGUAAGCAACCUGCCUGCAAGGACUGGGAUAACACCUGGAAACGGGCGCUAAUACCGGAUAGGUAACAAAGGGGCAUCCCUAUGUUAUUAAAGGUUAGAAACACAAGCAGAUGGGCUUACGGUGCAUUAGCUAGUUGGUGAGGUAACGGCCCACCAAGGCGAUGAUGCAUAGCCGGCCUGAGAGGGUGAACGGCCACAUUGGGACUGAGACACGGCCCAGACUCCUACGGGAGGCAGCAGUAGGGAAUUUUCGGCAAUGGACGAAAGUCUGACCGAGCAACGCCGCGUGAGUGAAGAAGGUUUUCGGAUUGUAAAGCUCUGUUGUAAGGGAAGAACAGCACGGAAAGAAUCCGUGAAUGACGGUACCUUACCAGAAAGCCACGGCUAACUACGUGCCAGCAGCGGC